rnacentral:rRNA from 1 species
GCUUGACAUAUACGNGAACGGGCGAGAGANCGUCAACUCUUUGGACACUCGUAAACAGGUGGUGCAUGGUUGUCGUCAGCUCGUGUCGUGAGAUGUUCGGUUAAGUCCGGCAACGAGCGCAACCCUCGUCCUAUGUUGCCAGCACGUAAUGGUGGGAACUCAUGGGAUACUGCCGUGGUCAACACGGAGGAAGGUGGGGAUGACGUCAAAUCAUCAUGCCCCUUAUGUCUUGGGCUUCACGCAUGCUACAAUGGCCGAUACAAAGGGCUGCGAUACCGCGAGGUGGAGCGAAUCCCAAAAAGUCGGUCUCAGUUCGGAUUGGGGUCUGCAACUCGACCCCAUGAAGUCGGAGUCGCUAGUAAUCGCAGAUCAGCAACGCUACGGUGAAUACGUUCCCGGGA